CUGCUGCCUUCCGUAGGAGUUUGGGCCGUGUCUCAGUCCCAAUGUGGCCGGUCACCCUCUCAGGUCGGCUACUGAUCGUCGCCUUGGUGGGCUGUUAUCUCACCAACUAGCUAAUCAGAUGCGGGCCCAUCUUUUACCGAAUAAAUCCUUUCUUUCCUAGAAGAUGCCUCCCAAGAACCGUAUGCGGUAUUAGUCACCGUUUCCAGUGAUUAUUCCCCAGUAAAAGGCAGGUUACCCACACGUUACUCACCCGUCCGCCGCUAAAAUAAU
rnacentral:rRNA from 1 species